ensembl:lncRNA
UCCUCAGCUCUCUAACCGGUCUUCUUGCCAUACAAGACAGAUAAGUCAGCCACAAACGGUAUUUUUCCCGGGCUCGAAGGACCCGUGGCUGCUCCCCAAGACACCCCUGCCCUCACCCCAACGAUUGAUACCCCUUAGCUGAGCACAGGUCCCUCUCUAGGUGCCAGCACCAGGCCUGCUGAUUGCCAUGCCGCUUUCCACCCAGGCUUGGAGAAACUGGCAGCCACACACUGCCACGGGCAUGGCUGGCAGACUAGCAACCUGGUGAGCAGGCCUGUGCAGGGGAGGGCAGCACGGGGAAGCAGAGCAGGAUGCUGCUCCUUUCGUCCUUCCCCUCUGCCUUGCAGAUGGACCUCCACACCAAGAUGGAACCAGUGCUGGACACACGCCUGUCUUCAACACUCUAACUGGUCUCCAUGCCAUACAAGACAGAUAAGUCAGCCACAAACGGUAUCCUCCCUUGGCCCGAAGGGCCCCUGGCUGCUCCCCAAGACAC